rnacentral:lncRNA from 1 species
CGGAAGGUAGCAAAACACUUCUCGACUUCCACGUGUGUUUGUUUGGGUGAAAGUGAGGGAGAAGUGGAGAGGGGGAAAGUUGUUUACGCCGUAAACUAUUACUUCCGUUAUUUGUUUUGCCGUAAUUUUAUUACGGUCGAAAGUCGAGUUCACCCAAAAUAGGGUAAUUGACUUCGUCCUCCCACAGGACGAAGUCAAUUCUGGUGAAGUGCAAAGAGGCAAAGGAGCUUGUUAAAUUUGGUUAGGUAAUGUGAUCAAAUUUAGUUAGAUAAGUUUUAAUAUAUUUUUUUGUCUAAUUUGUAUAUUUAGAAAAUGAUGAAAAAUGAAUUUGUUAAAUGUUAAUAAUUUUUUAACUUUAGAAUUUUAUUUGUUGCAUUAUUAUAAUUUAUAUGCAAACAAAUAAUAUAAAUUUUUAAAAUUUUAUUUUAUAAUUAUACAUAUAUAUAAUUAUAUACAUAUAUAAUUAUAUUAAUUUUUAUUUAUUAUAAUUUAUUAUUCACUAAGUUACAAAAUAAACAAUAAUAUCAUUUCGGAGGUAAGUAUACCGGGGGUGGAGAUCUACACCUUUUACGUCAUCUACUUCCUACCAAACAAAAAAUAGUACUCACAGAACUGCACUUCCAUAAUUAGAAACAAACAGCGGAAGUGAAUUAAUUUUCACCUAAACUUCACUUCAACUCAAAAUCCACUUCCACUCCAAGUCUAUGAAAUAAACAUGCCCUAAGUGGGUUCCGUGUCGUCGAAAAUGUUAAACUUUCUUCUAUGUCUACUUUUGCAUCU